rnacentral:rRNA from 1 species
AUUGAACGCUGGCGGCAGGCCUAACACAUGCAAGUCGAACGAGUGGCGGACGGGUGAGUAAUGUCUGGGAAACUGCCCGAUGGAGGGGGAUAACUACUGGAAACGGUAGCUAAUACCGCAUACCAUCGGAUGUGCCCAGAUGGGAUUGGCUAGUAGGUGGGGUAACGGCUCACCUAGGCGACGAUCCCUAGAUGGGCUGAGAGGAGGACCAGCCACAUUGGAACUGGUACACGGUCCAGACUCCUACGGGAGGCAGCAGUGGGGAAUAUUGCACAAUGGGAGCAAGCCGGAUGCAGCCAUGCCGCUUGUAUGAAGAAGGCCUUCGGGUUGUAAAGUACGUUCAGCGAGGAGGCGUUACUCGCAGAAGAAGCACCGGCUAACUCCGUGCCAGCAGCCGCGGUAAUUC